rnacentral:rRNA from 1 species
CAAGUCGAACGAAUCCCCGGGUAGCAAUACUCGGGGGAAGUGGCGAAAGGGGCAGUAAUGUGUGGAUAACCUACCCUGGGGAUGGGCAUAGCCGUUCUAACGAACGGGUAAUUCCCAGAGAUUCGGCGAGGUGGCAUCAUCUUGCCGGGAAAUGAAUUUCGCUUCGGGAGGGGUCCAUAUCGUAUUACCUAGUUGGCGGGGUAACGGCCCACCAAGGGGAAGAUGCGUAGCGGGUGUGAGAGCACGACCCGCGCCACUGGCACUGUGACACUGGCCAGACACCUACGGGUGGCUGCAGUCGAGGAUCUUCGUCAAUGGGCGAAAGCCUGAACGAGCGACGCCGCGUGUGCGAUGAAGGCCUUCGGGUUGUAAAGCACAAAGGUGGGGAUAAAAGCCGAAAGGUUUGAUUGAUCCACAGUAAGCACGGGCUAAGUUCGUGCCAGCAGCCGCGGUAAGACGAACCGUGCGAACGUUGUUCGGAAUCACUGGGCUUAAAGGGCGCGUAGGCGGGCGAUCAAGUCGGUGGUGAAAUCCUACAGCUCAACUGUAGAACUGCCUCCGAUACUGGUUGUCUCGAGGAAGGUAGGGGCGUGUGGAACUGUCGGUGGAGCGGUGAAAUGCAUUGAUAUCGACAGGAACUCCGGUGGCGAAGGCGACACGCUGGACCUUAUCUGACGCUGAGGCGCGAAAGCCAGGGGAG